GUGAACGCUGGCGGUAGGCCUAACACAUGCAAGUCGAACGGCAGCACAGUAAGAGCUUGCUCUUACGGGUGGCGAGUGGCGGACGGGUGAGGAAUACAUCGGAAUCUACUUUUUCGUGGGGGAUAACGUAGGGAAACUUACGCUAAUACCGCAUACGACCUACGGGUGAAAGCAGGGGAUCUUCGGACCUUGCGCGAUUGAAUGAGCCGAUGUCGGAUUAGCUAGUUGGCGGGGUAAAGGCCCACCAAGGCGACGAUCCGUAGCUGGUCUGAGAGGAUGAUCCGCCACACUGGAACUGAGACACGGUCCAGACUCCUACGGGAGGCAGCAGUGGGGAAUAUUGGACAAUGGGCGCAAGCCUGAUCCAGCCAUACCGCGUGGGUGAAGAAGGCCUUCGGGUUGUAAAGCCCUUUUGUUGGGGAAGAAAAGCAGCAGGUUAAUACCCCGCUGUUCUGACGGUACCCAAAGAAUAAGCACCGGCUAACUUCGUG
rnacentral:rRNA from 1 species